CCUACGGGAGGCAGCAGUAGGGAAUAUUGCUCAAUGGGGGAAACCCUGAAGCAGCAACGCCGCGUGGAGGAUGAAGGUUUUCGGAUUGUAAACUCCUUUUGUUAGAGAAGAUAAUGACGGUAUCUAACGAAUAAGCACCGGCUAACUCCGUGCCAGCAGCCGCGGUAAUACGGAGGGUGCAAGCGUUACUCGGAAUCACUGGGCGUAAAGAGCGCGUAGGCGGGAUAGCAAGUCAGAUGUGAAAUCCUAGGGCUUAACCAUAGAACUGCAUUUGAAACUGUUAUUAUAGAGUAUGGGAGUGGUAGGUGGAAUUCUUGGUGUAGGGGUAAAAUCCGUAGAGAUCAAGAGGAAUACUCAUUGCGAAGGCGACCUGCUAGAACAUAACUGACGCUGAUGCGCGAAAGCGUGGGGAGCAAACAGGAUUAGAUACCCUUGUAGUC
rnacentral:rRNA from 1 species